rnacentral:rRNA from 1 species
AUUGAACGCUGGCGGCAUGCUUUACACAUGCAAGUCGAACGGCAGCGCGGGCUUCGGCCUGGCUGCGAGUGGCGAACGGGUGAGUAAUGCAUCGGAACGUGCCCAGUAGUGGGGGAUAGCCCGGCGAAAGCCGGAUUAAUACCGCAUACGACCUGAGGGUGAAAGCGGGGGACCGAAAGGCCUCGCGCUAUUGGAGCGGCCGAUGUCGGAUUAGCUAGUUGGUGGGGUAAAGGCUUACCAAGGCGACGAUCCGUAGCUGGUCUGAGAGGACGACCAGCCACACUGGGACUGAGACACGGCCCAGACUCCUACGGGAGGCAGCAGUGGGGAAUUUUGGACAAUGGGGGCAACCCUGAUCCAGCCAUGCCGCGUGCGAGAAGAAGGCCUUCGGGUUGUAAACCGCUUUUGUUCGGGAAGAAAUCCUCUGGGCUAAUACCCCGGGGGGAUGACGGUACCGGAAGAAUAAGCACCGGCUAACUACGUG